AUAUCAAUAAGCGGAGGAAAAGAAACAAAAAUGGAUUCUCUGAAUAGCGGCGAGCGAAAAGAGAAAAGUUCAAACUGUGAAUCCGGCUAUGUCGGAAUUGUGCAGGAAAAAUCAAAGGGUUUGUCUGAGUCAUAAGAGCUUUGGAAUAAGCCAUCCCAGAGGGUGAAAAUCCCGUUGUGAUUCAGUUCAGCCUGCUGAUUUUCUAACUUGAGUCACACUUCUUGAGAGUGAAGUGCAAAUCGGUGGUAACUUUCAUCGAAAACUAAAUACUGCUGAGAGACCGAUAGCGCACAAGUA
rnacentral:rRNA from 1 species